rnacentral:rRNA from 1 species
UACGUAGGUGGCAAGCGUUGUUCGGAUUUAUUGGGCGUAAAGGGCUUGUAGGUUGUUAUGUAAGUGUGAGUUGAAAGACCGAAGCUUAACUUCGAGUUUGGCUUGCAAACUGCAUAACUGGAGUGUAGAAGGGGAGACUGGAAUUCCGCGUGUAGGGGUGAAAUCUGUAGAUAUGCGGAAGAAUACCAGUGGCGAAGGCGAGUCUCUGGUCUACAACUGACACUGAAAAGCGAAAGCGUGGGGAGCAAACAGGAUUAGAUACCCUGGUAGUCCACGCUGUAAACGUUGUACACUAGGCGUUGGAGGUAUCGACCCCUCUAGCGCCGUAGCUAACGCGAUAAGUGUACCGCCUGGGGAGUAUGCUCGCAAGGGUGAA